CCUUCCUUCCUGCCUUCUAUAAUCCUGUUUAUGCAAGGGGUCUGUAGCAGAACUUCCAAGCUGACCGGCACUCUCCUCCUCAAAGCAUGGUGUGACUUAUAAUUGGUGCUUGCCGCUAUGUGGCUAGGAGAAUAGCAGCAUCGCUGCGCAACGAGGAUCUGGGGGAGCCUGCGUUGGCGUGCAAGAAUGGGGUGUGCCCGCUGGGCAAGCAAAAAAGCACAAUGCCGCCAUAUACUAGUUCCCCUGUCAGCCAAGUGGCGCCCCGCCCUGCUGCCACGUCAGAAGUUGGGAUCCAGAAGCCACAUUCUUGAUGGAAUAAAAUGAGGGAUGGCAGGAGGAGAAUGACGGUCUGUUUGACAACUCCUGUGCACGCAGGAAUCGAACAGACCUGAGCAUCCUUCAGCUUCCCCUCCACCUCACCGUUCCGCUGUUAAAUCUGCUUAAAUAAAAGAAGCACUUUGCGUGCUCUAAUACACCAA